rnacentral:tRNA from 1 species
GCCCAUGGUGCUCACCAGGAAGAGCAGCCACCGUGCAAGCGGCCGGUCACGCGUUCGAGGCGCCGCCGUGGGCACCA